UCGCCCAGGCUGGAGUGCAAUGGCGUGAUCUCAGCUCACUGCAAGCUCCACCUCCCGGGUUCACGCCAUUCUCCUGCCUCAGCCUCCUGAGUAGCUGGGACUACAGGAGCCUGCCACCUUGCCCGGCUAAUUUUUUGUAUUUUCAGUAGAGACGGGGUUUCACCGUGUUAGUCAGGAUGGUCUCGAUCUCCUGACCUCUUGAUCCACCCGCCUUGGCCUCCCAAAGUGCUGGGAUUACAGGCGUGAGCCACAGCGCCCGGCCUCUUUUUUAAAUUUUUAAUUUAAUUUUUUUUGAGAUGAAGUCUCGCUCUGCCACCCAGGCUGGAGUGCAGUGGUGUGAUCUCAGCUCACUGCAACCUCCGUCUCCUGGGUUCAAGCAAUUCUCCUGCCUCAGCCUCCUGAGUAGCUGGGACUACAGGUGCAUGCCACCACACCCAGCUAAUUUUUUUAUUUUUAAUAGAGAUGGAGUUUCACCAUGUUGGGCAGGCUGGUCUCGAACUCCUGACCUCAAGUGACUCACCCGCCUUGGCUUCCCAAAGUGCUGGGUUUACAGGUGUGAGCCAUCAUGCCUGGCCCAUAUUUUUUCUCUUUUAUACCAUAUUUUCACCAUACUUUUUCUCUGUUUAGAUACACAAAUACCUUUGUGUUACCAGUAUUCAGCACAGUAACAUGCUGUACAGGUUUGUAGCCCAGGAGCAAUAGCCUACGCCGUGUAGCCCAGGUGUGUAGUAGCCUCUACCAUCUAGGAUUGUGUCAAGGACACUCUAGGAUGUUAGCACAGAGACAAAAUCACCUAAUGACACAUUUCUCAGAAUAUAUCCCUGUUAUUAAGUGAUGCAUGACUGUACUCAACACUGCUAGAAAGGCGAGUCCAGAGCAGGACUCAUCAGAAUGCAGCUGUCUUAGCUGAGAGAACUCAGUAACCUGCACAGCCCCACAAACCAUGGAUAAGAGGGAGGCUAGGGCCCGAGUUCACCUGUGUCCCAAGGAGAGACAGACUCUGUGGGGGUUGGCAAGAAGAGGAACUGGUCCUGGAUGUGGGAAGGAAAGGGAGCCAGUGCUGCCCAGGCCCUGGAGCAUACAAGAAGCAAAGGAGAUGGCAUAUGCCUUCACUGGGAGCUGUUUUCCUUCAGUCUUAUAAUAAAAAGAAGAGUUCUGAUGGUGGGAUAGGUAAGGGGAUAACUGCAAAUGGGGAACACCGAUUCAGAGGCAAAUCCAAAGUACCAAAUUGAAGCAAUCAGAAGAGAACUUCCACAAGUUCCCACCACUGCCUCACGCACCGCCCUGCAUCUGGGCCCAAGAAUUCUGCUCUCCCUGUUGUACCUAUGAGUGAACCCUCAACCCCCCGGCCAAGACUCCAGCUGUCCCUGUGCAUGCCACCCAGCUCCCUCCCACUCAGGACUUCCGCUCCAGCCACUCUGGCCUCUCCGAGUCAUCCCCAUCAGCAGGACGCAUGCUGCUAUUCCUCCCAGCUAUACAAGAGCCCUUCCUGUCACACCUCCUACUCCAGUCACCCCUCCCUUCUUCCUUUACAGCAAAACUCUGCUGAUGAGUCCAUUCCUGCGGAUGAGUCCAUUUCUGCUCUCUCCUGGACCUAUUCCCAUCAGGCUUGGCCCUCGCUGUUCCUCCAAAACUGCUCUUGCCAGCGUCACCAUUGCUGAACUUGGUGUUCAUCCCUUGUCCUCAUUACUUGAUCUUGCAGCAACAUCCAUCUGACCAGAUGGCUCCCUUCAUCCUGGUAACGCCCUCUUCCAGGAGCUUCCAGGACAACACACGUACCUGGUUUUCCUCCUACCUCUCAGACUGUUCCAUCCCAGGCUUUUCUGCUGGUUCUUCCCCAUAUCACUGGCUUCUGCGUAAAGCAGUGCCCCAGAGUGCAAUCUGUGAACUCCUCUUCUCUAGCCAUACUCCCUCCCAAGAUUGACGCUAUCUAACAGAAAUUUAAUGUGAACCACAUGUGUAAUGCAAAAUCAUCUAGUAGCCACUUUUUUUUUUUUUUUUUUUUGAGAUGGGGUCCCACUCUGUUGCCCAAGCUGGAGUACAGUGGCAUGAUCUUGGCUUGUUGCAACUCUCACCUCCCAGGUUCAAGCGAUUUUCCACCUCAGCCUCCUGAGUAGCUGGCACUGCAGGCAUGUACCACCACGCCCAGCUAAUUUUUGUAUUUCAGUAGAGACAGGGUUUCACCAUGUUGGCCAGGCUGAUCUCGAACUCCUGGACUCAAGCCAUCCACCUGCCUUGGCCUCCCAAAGUGCUGGGAUUACAGGCAUGAGCCACCACACCCAGCCGCAUUUUUUAAAAAGUAAUAAGAAGGCCAGGCUCGGUGGGCUCACGCCUGUAAUCCCAGCACUUUGGGAGGCCAAGGCAGGGGGAUGGCUUGAGUCCAGGAGUUCGAGACCAGCCCGGCCAACAUGGUGAAAGCCUGUCUCUACUAAAAAUACAAAAAAUUAGCUGGGCGUGGUGGUGAGUGCCUGUAAUCCCAGCUACUCGAGAGGCUGAGGCACAAGAAUCACUUGAACCCAGGAGGCAGAGGUUGCAGUGAGCCGAGAUCACGCCACUGCACUCCAGCCUGGGCGACAGAGUGAGACUGUCUCAAAAAAAAAAAAAAAAGUAAUAAGAAACGGUAAAAUUAUUAUUAUUAUUUUGAGAUGGAGUCUCACUCUGUCACCUAGGAUGGAGUGCAGUGGCAUGAUCUCGGCUCACUGCAACCUCUGCCUCCCGAGUUCAAGUGAUUCUCCUUCCUCAGCCUCCCAAGUGGCUGGGACUACAGGGAUGCGCCACCACGCCCAGCUAAUUUUUGUAUUUUUAGUAGAGACGGGGUUUCAGCAUGUUGGCCAGGCUGGUCUGAAACUCCUGACCUCAGGUGAUCCACUGCCUUAGCCUCCCAAAGUUCUGGGAUUACAGGCAUAAGCCACCAUGCCCAGCCAGUGAAAUUAAUUUUAAUAACAUUUUAUUUAUCCCAAUGUAGCCAAUUAGUAUCAUUUAAACAUGUAAUCAAUAAAAAACUAUUAAUGAAAUAUUUUAGUUUUUGUACUAAAUAUUUGAAAUCCAUUGUAUAUUUUUCACUUAAAGCUCACCUCAAUUUGGAUGCUAAAUUUUCAUCAGAAAAUCUUGAUAGGUAUUUAGAUUUCAUAAACUUGGCUGCUGAAAAAGUAGAUUUAUAUACUUGAGUUGUUCCAAACAUACUUAA
rnacentral:lncRNA from 10 species